rnacentral:lncRNA from 1 species
AAAUACUUCCAAUAUUUGUGUAUUAUUUUAGAAAUAAUAUUUAAAUUUAAUAGAAUAUAAAAAUUUAAAUUAAUCCAUUAUAAUCAAAUUAUACAAUAUGAAACUGAAUACUUAAUUGCAUAACAUAAUUAUUCAUCACAAUGCUAUCUAGCUCCACAUACGUAGAUGACAUAGGUUCAGCUUCAGUAGGUUGCUUGAAGAGCAGAUUGAUAGUUGAUUUUAAAUUCAGGAAGUUGCUCUCUUAGAGGUGGAAAACUAGACAACCGUGCGUUUUCACAACCUUGAUUUGAUUUUGAAGAGGCACAGUUACACAUCCGUUAUAGAUUCUGUGCAGGGCAUUAGAGGUACUGGUAGCAUGAAGCAAUCACUGGUGCGGAGCUUAGGGACACAUGCAAACGCUUGGAAUCUGAGGAUUUAACUUUACUGUCUAAUACAUACCACAGAAAGGAGUUGUAAACAGAAUAACCUACCUGUACAUUAGUUAAUGCGCACACGAUUGGGAUUCCACAGGCAUAAUAAAGAACCUACUGGCUGCGAUCAAGACGCACAGCAGGGCUCAGAUGGAAUUGAGGAAUGUAACAGAUUGACGCCAUGUUGAGACAAUUGAAAACGUUCGCCAAGUCUGAACACUUGAAUGUGAUAUCUUAUCAAGCCAGAACUAAAAUCCAAAAACUGAUACCGUAUCCCGAUAAACAAUUUACCGCCACUAUAUAACACAAUCGACGCAUGUCCUUGGCUCUCGCUUACACAAUCCAGAUCCAUUUAACACUUCGUCAUGAGAGAUUCUUUUCGGUCCCUCUAUCAUCUGGGUUUCUACCGGAAUGUUGCAAUCGGCCAGACGCUGAAACCCCCCUGCUCACCUUCUUGUUCACACUCGGUAUCUCUAACUGCACAAGCUUACCAUAUAUGAGCCUGACUCCAGACUCGGUAUUCACCGCGUGCAGAUGCAACGCGAGACAUUUUCCAAAUGUAUUCUUCACUCUACAUAAACUGUCAUUUCUAUUUGAUGAGAAAUUUAUUAUGACCAUCUGUAUUCAAGAGAGAGAAUGACACAGCGGACAGAAUGGUGGGGGCUCAUGUACACUGAGAUUGGCACAUGUUUCCAUUGAACUCUACGCGUUUCUGUAUGCCUAGAGAUGUUCAUUAGCUUAUGGAGUACCAUGCACUACAGAACAUGAUGCAGAUGUUCUGCACAAGCUUUUAAAAAAAAUUCAAGGAUGGAAAGAUGGAAAUUCUCUCAACUACUAAAGGGUUUCUGAAGAUGUGGGUAUCUCACCCGUUUGCCCCCAGUGUUUAAAAGAGCGCAGAAUCUUGACGAUUUCUCGAGGUUGGUGAAGAAUCGAGGCUUCCUUCUUUCGGAAGGAAAAACCGGGCUAUAGGGGAAAUUGAGAGCCUCUUGGACCAGUGUUUGCUUAUACCACCCAUCUUUACUGAUCUGCAGCUGUAGGUAGGACGGGAUGCGCUUCUCAGCUUGCGCAAGAAUGAGGAUCUUCACAGGUGCAGGGGCAUACAACUGCUGCUGGUUGUAGAGGAGACUUCCUAGAAAUGUGUUCUCUGGAAUACGAGGCGCUUCGGGGUUGCUCUCCUGUCCAGUGUGGCCCACGAACAGGCCAAGUUUGUUGGCGAUGACAGGAAGUUGGCACUGGGAUUGGGCAGGGAGGUUGGGGAGGGCUAUGACCUUCACCACCAUGUCAUCCGCUUUAGAGAAAAGAUCGACUGCAACGGGAAAGACUGCAGGUCGCAUAUGAGGGUAGUCUCGGAGAGCUGGGGCGGGGAUGUUCCAAGCUCCUUCUUUGUCACAGACGACGACGAAGAAUCCCUCACAGACACGCUUGUGCAUGGUUGCGGCGAUGUCAUGUCCCCCCAACCAAUCCCCCAACCAUUCACAAAACAAGUUGUGCGGAAUGUUGGGCCCAAAUGUAAUCAGCACAGAGCACCUAAUGCUCCGUUCAUUCGCCUUCUCCAGUGCUGGAAUGGAAAAGAAAACGACACAAGGGUUACCAAGACUUGUAACGGGAUCCUUAACUUCUUUCCACCUUGUCUUCGUCACCACCAUGGUUAACUCUGUAGAGUUGUUCACUCAGUCCAAAACCUCAACCGUGUAUCCCACACUUGGACGGUCACCAAUUUCAGUCCAGCUAUCUUCACGGAAUCCUCGAACGCAUUCAAUAAGAGCUGUUCUCGGAAUCGCCUGUGAGAGUUUGAUACGGCUUCUCAAAAUUGCAGGUACGAUCCAAACUCCAUGAAGCUGUUGCUGCCGAACACGACAAGCCAGUGCCUAAAACUGCAAGUUUAGGGUUGCAGUUUAUUGAUAAUUCAACAUCACUAUCUGUAGGAGAUCAAAGAGAAGUUCUUAUGUCAACAGGGACUUCCACCAUCCGUUGAAACCAUUAUAAUUCCAUCCAUGGUUAUAAUUCCAUUUCCAAUUUCAGAAGCUUUGCGAGUAAGAUGUCGAGAAAGUAAAAUAGCUAUGGCGAUGAAGGCAGCUCUAAAGGCCUGACCAAAUUCCUACAAGUUGGUGUAAUGUAUGCGGUAUAUGCAAACUUCAUAUCCCCUGUGAACGGGUGGCAAAAUUUGAAAUAGCAAAGGUUGGCUGAGAUAGCAAAAGUUAUAAGACCUUUCCUAUAAUGAGCGGCUGUACUGGACGUUCAGUUGCACAAAACUUCACAAUUCUAAUCAGAAACCUUUGAGCGUCUCAGUUACAAAGUCUGUUGCCAAUUAUCCAGAUUUCAUUAAAAAAAUCCUAACGACACAAUCUCAAAUUCGAGUUAAUACGCAGAGCCCUUCAGCAUCAAGAAAGCAGCAUGUGCUCAGUAUCAAACAGUCGGCCCCGAAUAAGUUUGCAAAUUGUCCAACUCCUCAAAUAAUUCCAGAAGAUUCGCUUGUAAUGUGUGAAUUAUCUUUCUAUUCUCAACUUUACAUAUAGAAGCACAAAUUGAUCUUGAUCAUCAACCGCAUGUGACAUCCUCAUAAUUCAACCUCCAGGUAAGAUGAAAGAAAAGACACAUUUUUUACCCUCUACCAUUUCCCAGUACUUUUCAAUGGAUAUCCUGCCGGGACACACUUGGAUUGAAAGGGUUCAACCAGCAUCCAUUACAUGCUUCUGAGAAGAAUACUAUACAACCUGCUCCAUAGAGUUCUGGAAAAUCGGAAGUUGAAAUUCACUUCACAGCCUACCUGCCAAGUUAGAAGAUGAUUGAGUAUUAAAAAAAACGAAAAAAUACUAUUCCUGACUCCUGAAACAAAGUCCUACUGGCAUGCAAAUGGCAUCCAAAAUGUCUACAACUCACACGAAAAAUUGAUCACAAAAAAGGAACUUGUGAAUCACUUACACGAAAACAAGUACACAUCACGUCUGAUAUCAGACGACGAACACUAGUAUAAAAGAUUCAAUUUCCGACUCUGAAUAUACGAAUCCAACCCUUGCCAAAAAUUAAGAACGGCUGUCUUGUCUUGAUGUCGCUUGUGCUUGCUAAGCUGCCAUAAAGAACAAAAGACAUCAAUAAGCGGAAAGUUAAUGCAUUUCUGGCAUCGAGAGAAAUUACCUAUCCAGUACUGUUACCAAAUAUCAAAAGUAGAUAAACUCUAGAAUCAUGCAAAGGACAAUCCCCUCGAUGCUCUUCAACGUCUAUUUCAGAAGUUAAGUAGGGCAUUUUACUCACAUUGAUAAUCUUAACAUUCCACUGCAUAACUUGUUUCGCUGAUUCCACACUAUCAUCUUCAAAUCGCAGAAAGACUCCCAUGACUGGCAAUGUGCAACACUCAAAUUAGUACGAUUCUGUGAGUCUUUGAGCAACACCGCAAUGAACGAAGUUCGUGCCAUAAAGAAGACCACUAAAAGUAGCGCUCAUACUACAGGGCUCGUACAAUACAAUGUCUUUUGUUUUAAGAUACAAAGCUGGAAAACUCUUACAUUUGUUGAAAAUCUCUACUCGAUCACUGAAUGGCCAACCCUUGAAUUGCCAAUCUUUUCCCAACACGAAUAUAGCCACGACCCGCUCCCAAUCCUUAGAAGUGAGUCCUUGAACCUUGUCUCUAACUUCAUAGGGAACUGGCCGCUCCCUGCCCAUCUUCCGCUGAACAAAUACAAUAUCCACUUUCUUCGCCAUACCUUUAACUUUGACCUCGGGAGAAACGUACACGCCAUCUUCGAGGAACUCCUUCACAUUGAACGUGUUCAGAAGAGUCUGUGACGCGCUCGGAACAAUUAUUAUUGGAGGACCAUCAGGUUUAGUUUUCACAUUGGGUCUAUGAUGUGGAUGGUGGGGAGGACGCUGAGAAGCCUUCGAAUCAGGUUUCAUUCUUGCUGCGUCUUUUUUCUUUGAAUCCGAAAUGUACGACUGAGAAGGAUUUAUUCCCAACUCUUCAGCAACAUCUGUUCCCAAGUGUUCUUUCCAAAACCGUUUCUCCUCUACAUUAGCGUAUCGAUUGGCAGAGUUUGGAGCAGGCAUCAGUCCAUCAGGUCCUUUUCCUAAAUCCUUCCUUACAUCAACGUCUGGUAUUUUCUUGUCAUCAUCUCUCUUGGUUAGCAGAGAGGAUAAAACACUCUCAAAACUUUUGUUAUGGCAAAGAAGGAUUGUCUCACGAUCUCUGACAGGCCAUUCACGCUCCCGAAUGAUAUUAAUUACUGAUGCCCCGUCAUCGCAAAACUGUGUCUCCAUCACAUUCUGUCCUUCCCAAGGCUGAGCUCGAAAUUUCUUAGCAGCAUGAUGAUCUACGUCGUCCACUCCUACGACCUCGGGCUCUUCGUCGUGAGCAUGCUUCCCUCCUGCCCAUUCAUUGAUGCUAGCUGGAGCUGCUGUAGGUGGAAGAAGCUCAAUUGCAUCAUUCGUAGCAACUCUUCCCUCCAAGUAAUCUAGGAGAGGCUUCCUGUCAGUGAAGGUUGCAAAUUGGAGUUUCGCUGCGCGGGCUGCAUUCAUGUAAUCAGUGUGCUUCAUAUGUAUGUUUUUCACGAAAAACACAAGAGAGUCCAACGUGUAGAAACCUCCUUGCUUCGACCUGUAUGCAGUCUCGAUGUUCUUGCGGAAACUGUAGUCGUCACCAAAAUUAUAUACAUCUCCAACCAGCUUCACCUGGUCCAAUUCACCGCGGAUAGUGUAAUCUCGAAGAACACUCAGAGGAUCCAUUGCUACAGACCUUCAAACAAUCCCGGUCAACUCAACGUUUCGACUUCCUCUUGAAAACUCAACCCUCGUCAAAAACCCUAAUCUUAUAUAACUCGAUCACCGCUACCAGCAACAGCGCUAACUGCAGAAAUCUGUCGCAGCACAAUUUGCUAACAACCAGUGAGCUAGGAAGUAUGAAGCACCCGAAAAAACCACCGACGAAGAAAGUAACAAACGAACAGCCCGCCCAGAUUAAUCGCCGAAACUCUCAACCGUACGCGAAACGGCAAAAAUCAACUGUAGAAUCCAAACAGGCCAUCUGCUCCACUGAAGACUUGGGAAAUUCUCUUCCACAGCACUAACACGCAAACACGACUUAAUAAAGCUCCUUGUCCAGCAACACUCGUCAUUACUCGCUACCAGGGACUUCCAAAGACAAAUCCUUCGCCCAACUCGGAAUGAAAACUUCCGGACAAAUCCGAAACGGCACCUUUAAACUCACGAAAAAUAACUAAAAAGCGCCGGUCUAUCUCGAGGCUCACAUCCAAACAAAAAGUGCCAUAACACACCUCGAGUAGUCUAAAGCAUCCCACCAGGGACCGCCAUAGCUGCUAACACAGAGCUUCAACACGCGCGUGAAGGGAGACGCAAAUUCAAUUCAGGGCUCUUACGUGGUGAAGUGUAUGUACCUAUAUCAAGGGCAAAACAUCAACCGGGUAUGAAAAAACUGGGUAACAAUAGAAAAAAGGAUAUCAAUUCAUGCAGUUAUAUAAUUUUGGUUUCACGCUGAGAAUUUUUUUGCAUGAGUUACACUGCUUCACAAUGAACAGCUUCAGAGGCACAGGAACUUGAGCAGCUUCGGCAGAGGACUCGAGUGCUUGAGAUAAUAUAGAAUCAUAAAAUAUACACAGAUAAGAAUAUAUUAAAUUUUGGUAUUAAAGUAAUAAAUUUAACAAUAUUCAUGAUUUAAAAUCAAAACUACUUAUUUUUUGCUAGGUGUAUAUGGGGGGUGUACACCUAAUGGUUCACAACUUUUUUUUUGUAUUUUGUGGAAAGCUGAUCAAAUUUGGUAGAAUUACUCCUCUUAAAAUGUUGAUUUCUUUUGGGGUCUACAUAAAAUACAGGAUUAUAACUUCAAGUAUCCAACAGAGUCAAUUGCAUUUCAGGAUCAUAAUAUUUGAGAACUUGUUUGGAUAAAUUGUCUAACUAAUAAGAGUUUACAGCUUAUUUAUGCCUAAAGGAUUAUGCUAGGACAAUAAACAUGAAUAUUAUGUUGGAUUGAACUCCUUGGUAAACCACAAAUAGGGAGUACUUUAUCAUCUCUCAUAAAUAGAGACCUACAUCUAUUAGUAAUUGAUAAGUAAAAUCUUUCAAUAUAAGAUGUGUUUUUUUAUUGUAUAUCACAAUAAGAUAAUACACUUUAUUUUAUAAUUGUUCUCUCAUAGUAUCAUUGCAAGCUUGGUCUUGAGAAUUUGUUGAAUAUUCCAAUUAUCUUUAUUUUUCUUACAUCUUUUUGUUUUUAGAAAUAGAAUAGUCAACUAUUUAUAUUUCUCUUUUGGAUGUGAGCCCAAACUCUCUACUAUUAUAUUAUUAUAGUACUUCAGUAAAAUCCACGAUAGAUUAAGUUAAUGCAUUUAAUAGAAUUAAUGAGCUAUUAGAAUCCUAAGAGGAAUGGAUAUAAUAGUAUCUAGAGACGCAAUACUGUUAAGACCUUCAAAAUUCAAUUUGUGGGAUUCCACUUUGUAAAGCAACUUCAAGCAAAUGAUCUAUGGGAUGUCAUUGAAGAUCCACUUUUAGCAUCAAAAACCUCCAGUGCUAAAUCAAGUGAUCAAAGUACUUUUCUCAAGUCAUCUAGGCCAUAUCUAGUCCCACAAUAGCUUCUCCUUUUAUCAAUAAUACACUUAGAUAGAAGCAAAUACGUAUGAAAUCUUAUAUUAAAUUCUUGAUCUAACUCGAGAUACAAGUAUAUAUUGAAGACAUUUCACAUCCAAGAGCCCCUUAGAAUUGUCUAGAAUCGAUAUAUCAUAUUAAUAAGAUUAUUGAUAUCAUGCUAGUAGUCAAAAAAUGGUACACACUCCAUAUGAUCAAGUAUAUGGAUGUCUCCAUGUUCAUCACUAAAAUAUAAGAAAUUCAAUGAGAGAUAAAUACUAUCAAUCAGUGGCAAUCUUAUGCCAUUAUUGUUCAUUGUGUACAAAAAAAAAUUAUCCACCAAAUUUCAGCAUCUAGUGUGAUAAAUCUAGAAUGAGAGAAACAUUUCAUUGCUAGAAGAAUUAAGUGCAAGACUUCACAACAAGAAAAACUUUGUAUCAUUAUAAAAAGAUGAAUCUAAUGAAGUCCUCAUGAUGAAGAUUUGAAAUGUAGUACAAUGUCGAUACAAAUCUUAGUACAUCACCUAUGGUUUUAGACCAUCAAGACAUUUCUAAGUUCCCAUUAAAAUUAACAAUAAACUAAUCCAAAUGAUUUUUUUUGUAAUACAUGCAAGAAAUAAGGAUAUACUUCAAUUCUAGUGCCUUCGCAUAUUUUUUAGGAAACAAAAGUUUAUUUUAAUUCUUAGAUCCACCUCAUGCCAACUUUGUGAUUUCAAUAGGACAAAAAGUAUAUGUAAUUAAAGGCUAAGAUCUUGCUCAAGUAUUAUUUCUAUCUAGUGAAAUAAAAACCCUUAGACACAUUCAAUAUGUGUUGGGCCUGUAUCAAAAUAUUGUCUCAAUAGAAAAGUUCACCAACUCUAAGAAUGUAGCCUUAUUUUAUUUAUUCAUAUGCUUAGUUUUUAUUAGAAAUAAAUUCUACAAAGUAGUAGCUUUAAAAAAAAAAAAACAAACAAACAAACAAACAAAUAAACAAAUAAUAGAUUGUAUAAACUCAUAGCCAUGCAAAAUCUUUAGCUUAAAAAUCUGAAAUUCAUUAAUACAAUCAAGACAUAAUCCAAGAGAAAAACUCUAGUAGAAAUUUGACAAAUUCCAUCUUUUUUUUCCAACUAUAACAUUAUAAGCUGAGACUUAUAACCAUCCUAGCUUCACUUUAUUAAACAACCAUAAUCUAGCUAUUGGAAUACCAUAUUUUUUUUUAUAGUAUUUCAAUUUUGUGAUGCUUGCCAACAUGGCAAGUAAACUCAAAAAUACUUUUCAAAAAAAUUGUUCUUUUAUGUCUUUUUACUACUUUCUCUUAUCUAUACUAGCUUAUGUGGCAAACUAUUUAUAUCUAUGUUAAAAAAAUUAAAUGUUUCUUACUAUUUAUUAAUAUCUUCAGCAAAUAUUCUUGAAUAUAAUUUCUACAAAGUAAGGGCAAAGUUCUAGAUCAAUUCAAGCAAUUCAAUGCUAUGAUCAAAUGACAAAUAUAGCAAAAAAUCCUUACUUUAUGAUCUAAUAAAAAAUGAGAAUUCAUAUCUUAGGAUUUUAAUCAGUACCUCCAUGCACAUAGAAUCAAUAAAAAGUUAACCAUUGUUCAAACACUCUUUUAAAAUAAUAUCUUAGAAUCUAAAAAUAAGAUAAUCUUAAAUAUGAUUUAUACCAUGUUGUCAAGAAAAGAAUCCCAUAAAAGUAAAUUAACAAAUAAGACUUUUUUCAUAGAAGUAUGGUAUAAUAGAAAUAUAUAUAUAUAUAUAUAUUAAAAAAAACUAAAAUAGCUAUUACCAAAAGUCAAGAAAACUAAAGACUCUUGAAUCUGGACUCAAGCAAAAAAAGAAUAUACAAUAGUGAAAAGGACUUCACUUUUGCUUCUAUAUAUACUAUCUACCUAUGAGCUAUGUAGCAACAUUGUAUAGGUCCUUUGACAUGUGUUGACUUUAUAAGCCAUAUGUCUUAACUUGCAAGCAAGUUUUUUAUGUUUGUGCCACAUAAUUAGUUUGUUCAAUAAGCUAUCCAUAUAUGUGAUAUGUUGUCAUGUUGUGGUUCGUCUACCAUGUGAAAAUAAUGUGAUUAUAUGUUUAAUUUAUAAUUUACUUAGUAACAUGGUGAGAGCCAUGUUACUGGAUUUUAGUUGAUUGUAGAGUGUGGUUAAAUUACUACUUUAAAAUGAGGUUGAUUAAAAGAAUUACUAUUAGAAUUUUUUUAACUUUAUUUUCUUUUGAUAGUGGCUUUUGAGAUUGAUUUUGUUGAUAGUAACUUUAAAUAUUUAGAGUCACAUAUAUGAGACAUUAGUGACCCUUGAAGUCUUAUUUUGGUUCUUUAAUUUAGUGUUUAGAGCAUAUAUUGAGUAAAUCUUAUAAAGAAAAGAAUUGGAGAGAGGUUUUGGUAGUAAAAAGAAAGUUUAGGGCAUCCAUAUAGAUGAAUGGACAUGGAUGAUAAAAAUCUUUAUUCCUAUUGAUCAAAAACCAUUACCAAUGGGCUUUGAGGAGGCUAUCCGUGGCCAUAUUUGAGAUUAGGGUUAGUUUUUUGGAGGCAUUUGAGCUUUGGAGGCUAAGGUCAGUAAGUUUAGAUUUUUGGCUAUGGUUUUGGUGCAAAUUUUGUGUGAUUUGGAGUUUAUAUGAAAGAAAUAUGGAUGCUCAAAGUUAGUGUGUUGAUUUUGUACCUACUAUCAUUCUUUUGGAUAUAAUGUAUGCGUAUAGAAAGCAACUGAGGAUCUGCAAUUGGAGUUGGAGAAGGCUCUCUUUUCGCUACACUUUUGGUAUACUGUUUGAUGGAUUUUAAAUUUGAGUGAAGGAGAUAUUGGAGGUUGAAGUCAGUGCUUGCAAAUCUAAAGGCAAUAAGUGACCUGAAUUAAUAGUGGUUGUGUUUUGAACUUUAUCUUGUGCAAUUUGACAAGAUUUUGGCUAAGAAUUUCCAAAAAUAAGUAUUUUCAUAUAAUCAAACUUUUUAUAUAAGUUUUUUGGCAUUUGGAUUUUGAAUUUGUGAUAUAAAAAGAAAAUAGUACUUAGGUGCUUGUGAAUUAGGAUUUUAGAGCACCUUCUAGGAUUUUUAAGAUAUCAAACGAUCGGUAGCAAAUUUACAAUUGAAUUUUUGUAAAAUAAAGCUUAAGGAUGAAUUCUAUAAUAUCUGUGAAUUUGACAAAAUCUGAACGGUUGGAACAAGAGAUAUGAAUUUAUAAAGUUUAAGAAGAAGAAAUCCUUUGUGAGAAUAUUAUAUUUUGAAGGAAUUUUAUUAUAACUUGAGCAUUUUAUACAAAGUUAAGGAGUAUUUUGGAAGCCAAGACUUUAUAUAUAUGUUAAAGAUGGAUAUAUAGAGCUAAAGUUGAAUUUUUGUAUAAAGAUAAGCUUUUGAGAGAACAUUGUGGAUUUCCUUUGAAGUUAUUGAAAAUCUAAUCUACCAACAGAUGGUUAGCUAUGAUUUGAUAUAGCCAAGAAUGUUAGAAAAUUUCUAGAUAUUUUAAAAAGCCUUAUAUAUAAACCAUCUUAAAUAUAAAAGAAUUUAUUAGUAUAAUAUCUUUUUGAUAUUAUAGUAUUUAUUUCUCUUCUAUUUUUAAGGUUAAAUAACUUAUUGGAGCUUGGCCAAUAAGUUAAAACUAAACUCUCUAGAGCUAGAUACCUAAUGUAUUUCCAAAUAGAAAACCACAUAAUACAACAAUAUGUUAGAAAUUUGAUCAAGUUUCUAAUCUAAAAACCAAUUAUAAAUACAUAUAAAGUCAAAAUUGUGUCCAUAAAGCUUUUAAAAAGCUUUUUUAGAAGAUAUUAUGAAAUUAAUCUAUUUUUUCAUUUUUAUCUACUUCUAUAUGAUUAUAUAGAUAAUUAUUAGAAUAAAUAUGUAUAUUUAUGACAAUAUGACUAAGACAUAAUCCUCCUUCUAGAAAUGAAUCCCACAAAGAAAAAUCAUCAUAUUUUACAAAAAUCUAAGAUGCGACAAAUUAUGUUUGUCACAUAUUAUAAUCCUUAUUCUUUAUGAAGAUGAUUGAUGGAUCUUCUCAACCAUUAAUAUUGUUCUACACCAAGGCAAAAAAAUCACCCUAUUAUUUGAUCAUUGUUAAGGCCUUCAUAAUUUCCUUCAAAUAAAAUAUUUGAAACACCAUCUAAUGAAAUUAUCAAACAUUGGAAAUCUCUUUCAAGAUUGAGAUAUCAAACA